GACGAACGCUGGCGGCGUGCCUAAUACAUGCAAGUCGAGCGAAUGGAUUAAGAGCUUGCUCUUAUGAAGUUAGCGGCGGACGGGUGAGUAACACGUGGGUAACCUGCCCAUAAGACUGGGAUAACUCCGGGAAAUCGGGGCUAAUACCGGAUAACAUUUUGAACCGCAUGGUUCGAAAUUGAAAGGCGGCUUCGGCUGUCACUUAUGGAUGGACCCGCGUCGCAUUAGCUAGUUGGUGAGGUAACGGCGCACCAAGGCAACGAUGCGUAGCCGACCUGGGAGGGUGAUCGGCCACACUGGGACUGAGACACGGCCCAGACUCCUACGGGAGGCAGCAGUAGGGAAUCUUCCGCAAUGGACGAAAGUCUGACGGAGCAACGCCGCGUGAGUGAUGAAGGCUUUCGGGUCGUAAAACUCUGUUGUUAGGGAAGAACAAGUGCUAGUUGAAUAAGCUGGCACCUUGACGGUACCUAACCAGAAAGCCACGGCUAACUACGUGCCAGCCGCCGCCGUAA
rnacentral:rRNA from 1 species